rnacentral:ribozyme from 14 species
AAAGCAAAGAGAAAUAGAAGAAAGGGGAAAGAUACGAUGGAAAAGCCAGGGACACGUCUUCCGAUUUCUUAUUUGAUCAUCAUUAUUGUAUUAUCCGUCAUUUCGU